rnacentral:rRNA from 1 species
GACGAACGCUGGCGGCGUGCCUAAUACAUGCAAGUCGAACGCUUUUUCUUUCACCGGAGCUUGCUCCACCGAAAGAAAAAGAGUGGCGAACGGGUGAGUAACACGUGGGUAACCUGCCCAUCAGAAGGGGAUAACACUUGGAAACAGGUGCUAAUACCGUAUAACACUAUUUUCCGCAUGGGAGAAAGUUGAAAGGCGCUUUUGCGUCACUGAUGGAUGGACCCGCGGUGCAUUAGCUAGUUGGUGAGGUAACGGCUCACCAAGGCAACGAUGCAUAGCCGACCUGAGAGGGUGAUCGGCCACACUGGGACUGAGACACGGCCCAGACUCCUACGGGAGGCAGCAGUAGGGAAUCUUCGGCAAUGGACGAAAGUCUGACCGAGCAACGCCGCGUGAGUGAAGAAGGUUUUCGGAUCGUAAAACUCUGUUGUUAGAGAAGAACAAGGAUGAGAGUAAAACGUUCAUCCCUUGACGGAUCUAACCAGAAGCC